AAUCAGAGGUGCUGUUGUGAGACUCUGAAAGCUUGAAGCUGAAGAAGGAGGUGCCUUACAUCAGGGAGCUCCUGUUCUUCAACCCUCCUCACUGCUUGCAAGUUAUCCUUCAGCCUCUCAGGAAAUAUUGUCUGGUUUCACCACAGCCAGUGGGGGAGUCCACCGGUGUUACCUGGAGCCGAGUCCCUCUUUCCACUCUGCUGCUUUCCACACUUCACCAAACAAGGGGGUGGGGCAUGGGAUUGUAAAUACUCUCCCUAAGGGAAGAGCAUGGUGACUUGGCCUUCAGGUUUCUUCUUGAGACCUCUAAAUGCAACCAGUGUCCUGCUCAUAGUCUACGUCCCCAGAAGCACUGAAGUGGUAAUUCUGGAAGCUCAGCUCUGAACGGUGCGAUUCCAGACAAAGAGACUACACUCUGGACCACUGUCUAUGAUUCUUUGCCAAGGAGCCUUCACGAUCUUAAGUGUGAGAGACUGGGUGAGUCCAUGGGUCUGGCAGCCAAGAGAAGGGUAUGCUAAACCCUAUUAAGAUUUCCAGGUUUCAGGAUGGUCUGGAUCCCCCUCUUUCUGACUAGAGAAAGAGGUAUGAGGACAAAGGGAAUGCCCUGGCACGCCUGACAGUCUUCUCCUCUGUUACAUGCCCAGCUUCCAUAGCCUGUGUGGAAUAGUACUGGGAACACACUAUCUGUUUGGGCUGCUAUAACGAGGCAAUGUUAUAGACAAUGUAAACAGAUAUCUCACCCCUGAGGGUCUGGAAGUCACAGAUCAAGAAAGCACAUGCUCAGCGGCUGGUGAAAGGUCUCUUCCUGGUUGUACACAGGUGCUUUUUUAUGCUGGGAGAGGUGAGUGGGGUUCCUUUUUCAUAAGGUCAUGAAACCCAUUCAAGAGAGCCAUCUUUAUGGACCAAUCCUCUCCCAAAGACUGUAUCUCCUAACACCAUCAUUUUGGGGAUCUGGGUUUCAGUGAAUGAACUUUAAGGGGAACACAAACAUUCACAACAUGGCAAGAUUUUCACAAAAGAAAAAGACAUGUUGAGAUAUUUAUCCAUCCAGAAGGGGCUCCUUGGGAUCUGGGUACACUCUAUGGACUACAGCUAAACAUAUAUUGAUAAAAUAGUACCAGCCAUGGAGGUACACGGCUAUGGUGGCAGGAAGGCUGAGGCAGAAGAGUGCAAUGACAUUGAAGACAGUCUGAGACAUGGCAAGCUCUAGGCUACGCAGAGCUUCAAAAUAAGAUGCUGGGUCAGGAAGCCAAGGCAAGCAAAUAGACAAAAAUGGGAAACAAAGGAAAUCGUAACAACAACAAGAACAGGGUGCUCACAGGACAUUUAUAAUGUGGCUUGAAUUGGUAUGUGUACAGCAGUUGGACAUCCUGUGAUAGACGCUGAAGAAAAUGGAGCAGCCAACAUCUCCUGGAUGUUGGUCAUAGUCUCAUUUUCAGUGCACCCCAGCCACUGAGCAGUAACUCAGCUUUACCCUGCUCCCAGGAUUCCCUGAGAAGCCCCACCCCCAAUUCUCUUAUGGAAGCCGGUAGCUCUGAGACUAAGCAGUGGUCAGCUUCUUUCUCCUGGAUGCUGCCAUGAAGCACAAGUGGUGAGGAGUCAAAGGCUCAGAAGGCCACAGCAGAAGGAAGCCCCCACCCCGAUGGAGAACUACCAGUGUCCUUUAAGAAAAGACAGUGCCUCUGUUGCUCCCAACUUCUGGUCAGAAGAAAUGUCUCCUUUCUUAGUCAAAGCAAUGUUCCAGCGAUGAGAAGGCCAGUUCCCUGGUCUACAUAAAGCCCUAAGGAAGAAACUCCCCUUCAGGCUUCUCCUACCAUCCCUUUCACAGUGUGGUUAAGGAACUGAGGCCAAAGGACCAGGACAACCAUUUUCCUACCCAGUCAACAGCUUCACUCCGCUGUGACCAAGGCAAAGGUGCCUUGGCUCUCACAGGUCUUCUAGAGACCAGGAGAGAGCAGCAAAAUCCCAUGGAGCUGGAGUCGCUGGCUGUUGUGAGCCACCUGGAAUGGUGCUAGGAACUGAACUCAGUCAGACCCAUGGGAAGAGAAAUGUACUCUUAACCGGGGUCAGGGGCUAGGGUCCCUGGAGAAAGCAUCUGGGAAGACACUCAAGAAAAUCAUGCUUGGAUCUGAAAUGGGGGUCCCACUCUGCCUCCAGAGCCAGCUCCUCAGGGAGCUCAAACUGCACGUGACAACUGACUAACACGUAUCACUGUCUUCUGUUACAGAGGGACAGAAAGGCCACAGAAAAGUAAGAACGAGUUUCUGCUUCAUAGCAGGAAGAGGUAGAGGAACUCUGAGCCCCAGCCUCUGGGCACACUCACGGUGGCAUUCCCGCUACCGUUUCAGUGACAUCAGUGUCACUCACGCAGGGAUGAUGUACAGUGGCCAGGACACCUCGUGUUUUGAGGCUCCAAGGGGAGAAGAUGUUGAGAAGGUUUUGGUUCUGUCUCCUUCUUUGCUCUUAAAGUAAACAAACAAACAAACAAAUAAUCAACCCCUUUGGUAUUUUUAAGAGGAGAGGAAGAGGAUCACUUGGAUUAGCUAGUCCUGACCUACUCCACAGGAGGCAGGAUGUGCAUUAGGGUUGCCGGAAUCUAGGGGAAAGGUACAAGGAGAAGAGGAGGAAGAGAAAGAGGCAAAAAUAUGAUUGCCUCAUAUUCUCCCAGGAUCCGUGAGAAGUGGAAAUGGACGACAAGAUCAACGUGGCCCGCAGGUUUUCUGUUUGAGUGAGCCAAGGUGCUCAGGUCACAGAUUUGAGAACAUGGAAAAUAGGAAAGUAUGGGGGGAAAAGAAGGGCUUGGACAAUCAUCCUUGAGCAUGUAGGGUGUCAUUUCCACCAGCUUUGAAUUCAGCCAUAUAGGUGACAUCACAGCGUCAUGCUACCCCCUGGGGCAAAGCACUCUCUUCAUUUGUGCAAAUUUUGAAAAGGAGAAGAAAACUGGAUUAAAGUUCAAAGAGACCUUGCGUUAGAGGUCUCCUGAAUGGAGUGGAGAUAUUUCAAGGGAUGAUUAGCUAUUUUCCCUUUUAGAGUUUCUUCCUCUUCCUGGAAUUAAUAUCUAAUGUAUUGACACCAAGGGACACAUCUCACUGUCCCUAUAAAAAGUCCUCAGUGUCCGUGCCUCUGCAUACAUCCUCAGUCUGCUAACCAUAGACUAACAUCUUCUGACACAGCGGCCAUCUUGACAGCUAUUAGAGUAAUCAGUUAUUCCUCCUGGGUUGGCAACUCGAAGGAACUUGUAGUCCCCACCAAGGGACAACAAAGGGAGGUGGCUCGUGGGGUUUAAGCUGCUAGAAUCCACAUAAACCUGGGUGUGGUGAUGCAUGGCUCUAAUCCCUAUUUACAGCCACUUAUCCUGUGGUGAGCCCUGUCUCAAACAAGGCAGAAAAUGGUGGCUGACACCAGAGGUUGUCCUCUGAUCUCCACACACACUUAUCAUGGCAUGCACGAACACACACACACA
rnacentral:sRNA from 1 species